rnacentral:rRNA from 1 species
UACGUAGGGGGCAAGCGUUGUCCGGAAUUAUUGGGCGUAAAGAGCUCGUAGGCGGCUUAGUAAGUCGGCGGUGAAAUACCGAGGCUCAACCUCGGCACUGCCGUCGAUACUGCUAUGGCUAGAGUUUGGUAGAGGAGAACGGAAUUCCCGGUGUAGCGGUGGAAUGCGCAGAUAUCAGGAGGAACACCAAUGGCGAAGGCAGCUCGCUGGGACGUGACUGACGCUGAGACGCGAAAGCGUGGGGAGCAAACAGG